rnacentral:lncRNA from 1 species
AUGGGGGAGGGCGGCAGGGCCUCAGCCUAUGGUGGGCAGAGAGAUGUGCACAUCCCAGUGCCUAACCCCUGUGAGCAUGCGCUCUUCCGGGCAAAGGGGACUUUGGGCUCUGGGCGGGGUCCCAUCUGCAGCUGUGGCCCUGUGCAGGCAGAGCAGGGCUGGGCUUCUCUCCUGCCCGGUGGGUGGGACGAAGGAGCCAGCACGCGCACCCCGGUCUUUCUAGUCCAGCCUGCGCUCUGGGCCCCCAGGGCUUCUGCAACCCACCCCCCCCCCCCCCCCAAAGUAUGAGAAUUGUAGCCACGAGUUGAAACAGUUUAGUUUUGUUGUGAAGUGGAAGUUUCAGAAUCUUAGUGGCUGCUCUGGGCUUUGGAGGAGGGGUUUGUAGUCAGGGGCAUUUGGGAUGGGGUGGGGAGGGCGUCUCAGGAGAGGCUGCUGGAAGGCUAGGAACUGGGAGCUCUUUUUUUUUUUUUUUUUAAGAUUUAUUUGAGAAGCAGAAUUAGAGAGUGAGAGACAAGAGAGAUCUUCCAUCUGUUGGUUCAGUCCUCGAAUUGGCUGUAACUGCUGGGGUUGUUCCAGGCUGAAGCCUGGAACUUUAUCCGGGUCUCCCAUGUGGGUGCAGGGGCUCAAGCACUUGGGCCCUCUUCCCCUGCUUUCCCAGGCGCAUUAGUGGGGAGCUGGGUCUUAGGUGGAGCAACUGGGACUCAAACUGGAACGCAUAUGGGAUGCUGGCAGCAGCUCAACCUGCUGAGCCACAGCGCUGAGCAGGGAGGAAGGGGGAGAGGAGAGGGAGGGAACAGCAGCACCUGGUUCACCUGUUUCCCACCCCCCACCACACUGCACGGGCCACGGGGCAGUGUGACCUGAAUUCUGUUGUCUUCCUAGAGAGCAGGAGAGAAAUUCUUUGUUCAGAAAGGAGCCAGACUUGUUGCCGCCCGCCCACCGCAGAACAUGGGGGUUGGGGUGGGGCCCAGAGCUGGUCACGCCCCUCUCUGUCCUGGUGGGGUUGAGAUUUGACUGGCAGAGCUCUCACGUGGUCCCCAGUGCCGGCCCCAGAGACAUACACACUGAACUUCAACCUUAUUUGUCACAUACUAAAAUGAAUACUAGGCAUAGACUGUGGCUGGAGGAUCCUGGCACUUGGUUUACUGUGGUGUUCCCUGGAGGUGAAGGUGAGGCCCUUGGUGUAUCUUUUUAAUUUAUCUCCCGUCACCGCGUUUCCAGUGCUGUCUGGUGGUGGCUGUGGACUAGAGGUUAUCUUCGAUCGUACACCCUUUUGAGUGACUGCAGG